GAUGAAGAACGUAGCGAAAUGCGAUACUUGGUGUGAAUUGCAGAAUCCCGUGAACCAUCGAGUCUUUGAACGCAAGUUGCGCCCGAAGCCAUUAGGCCGAGGGCACGCCUGCCUGGGCGUCACACGUCGUUGCCCCCCCCCCAUCUACUCCUUCGGGAUUGCGGGGGGCGGAUGAUGGCCUCCCGUGCGCCUCGCCGCGCGGUUGGCAUAAAUGCCAAGUCCUCGGCGACGCACGCCACGACAAUCGGUGGUUGCGAAACCUCGGUUGCCCGUCGUGUGCGGUCGUCGCGCAUCGAGGGCUCGAAAAAAUUGCCGAGUUCCGGCUCGGCUUUCAACGCGACCCCAGGUCAGGCGGGGUUACCCGCUGAAUUUAAGCAUAUCAAUAAGCGGAGGA
rnacentral:misc_RNA from 1 species